UACAGAGGUGGCAAGCGUUGUUCGGAAUCACUGGGCGUAAAGCGCACGUAGGCGGAUGUGUCAGUCAGGGGUGAAAUCCCGGGGCUCAACCUCGGAACUGCCUUUGAUACAGCACGUCUUGAGUCCGGAAGAGGUGGGUGGAAUUCCUAGUGUAGAGGUGAAAUUCGUAGAUAUUAGGAAGAACACCGGUGGCGAAGGCGGCCCACUGGUCCGGUACUGACGCUGAGGUGCGAAAGCGUGGGGAGCAAACAGG
rnacentral:rRNA from 1 species